rnacentral:rRNA from 1 species
GAUGAACGCUAGCUACAGGCUUAACACAUGCAAGUCGAGGGGCAGCGCAGUGUAGCAAUACAUGGGCGGCGACCGGCGCACGGGUGCGUAACGCGUAUCCAACCUUCCCGUUACUCAGGGAUAGCCUUCCGAAAGGGAGAUUAAUACCUGAUGGUGUUGAAAUUCCGCAUGUUAUUUCAACUAAAGAUUCAUCGGUAACGGAUGGGGAUGCGUGACAUUAGCUGGUUGGCGGGGUAACGGCCCACCAAGGCGACGAUCGUUAGGGGUUCUGAGAGGAAGGUCCCCCACACUGGAACUGAGACACGGUCCAGACUCCUACGGGAGGCAGCAGUGGGGAAUAUUGGGCAAUGGGCGAAAGCCUGAUGCAGCAACGCCGCGUGAACGAAGAAGGUCUUCGGAUUGUAAAGUUCUGUCCUUGGGGAAGAAACAAAUGACGGUACCCUUGGAGGAAGCCCCCGGNUAACUACGUG